AUGGUUGUCGUCAGCUCGUGCCGUGAGGUGUCGGGUUAAGUCCCAUAACGAGCGCAACCCUUAUCGUUAGUUGCCAUCUGGUAAUGCAGGGGACUCUAGCGAAACUGCCACCGUAAGGUGAGAGGAAGGUGGGGAUGACGUCAAAUCAGCACGGCCCUUAUGUCCAGGGCUACACACGUGUUACAAUGGUCGGUACAGAGGGCAGCUACCUGGUGACAGGAUGCUAAUCUCGAAAACCGGUCUCAGUUCGGAUCGAAGUCUGCAACUCGACUUCGUGAAGCUGGAUUCGCUAGUAAUCGCGCAUCAGCUAUGGCGCGGUGAAUACGUUCCCGGGCCUU
rnacentral:rRNA from 1 species